UACGUAGGGUGCGAGCGUUUGUCCGGAAUUACUGGGCGUAAAGAGCUCGUAGGUGGUUUGUCGCGUUGUUCGUGAAAACUCACAGCUUAACUGUGGGCGUGCGGGCGAUACGGGGCAGACUGGAGUACUGCAGGGGAGACUGGAAUUCCUGGUGUAGCGGUGGAAUGCGCAGAUAUCAGGAGGAACACCGGUGGCGAAGGCGGGUCUCUGGGCAGUAACUGACGCUGGAGGAGCGAAAGCGUGGGGAGCGAACAGG
rnacentral:rRNA from 1 species